UAGGGAAUCUCCCACAAUGGGCGAAGCCUGAUGGAGCAACGCCGCGUGUGAUGAAGGGUUUCGGCUCGUAAAACACUGUUGUAAGAGAAGAAUGACAUUGAGAGUAACUGUUCAAUGUGUGACGGUAUCUUACCAGAAAGGAACGGCUAAAUACGUGCCA
rnacentral:rRNA from 1 species